AUGUAUGUCUGGGGCAUGAAGCUCACAGAGUUGAACGAAGAUGACGGGUCCGGUCAAAGGACGAUUGCAAAAGAUUCCGUUACACAGGAGCCUUCUGAACUAAGCAUUCAAGAAGGAGAGGCCAUAUUACUGAACUGUAAUUACUCAGGAGCAUAUAAUUAUAUAUUUUGGUACAUUCAGCAUCAAAACAGAGGUCUACAAUUCUUGCUGAAGCUAAUUAACACAAAGAUGGAUCGGUCUCCAGAAAUUCCGCAGAGGAUUACCGGUACUUUACAGAAAGACAGCCAGGUGUCUCAGUUAAUUAUAUCUGGAAGUAUUGUUUCGGACUCCGCCUUGUAUCUCUGUGCCAUGCAGCCCACACUGUUGCACGGAGAUGAUAGAUCCGAACAAAAACCCCGUUUGAGUGAUGUUGAGAACACUCAAUAG